rnacentral:pre_miRNA from 1 species
UAACCUCCACAGGCUGGCCGGCCCCCAGGCUGGGCUGGCCAGUAUCUCUUUGGAAGGCUCACUCUCAAGCACAACUAGAAGC